CCUACGGGAGGCAGCAGUGGGGAAUAUUGCACAAUGGGCGCAAGCCUGAUGCAGCCAUGCCGCGUGUAUGAAGAAGGCCUUCGGGUUGUAAAGUACUUUCAGCGGGGAGGAAGAUGUUGUGGUUAAUAACCACAGCAAUUGACGUUACCCGCAGAAGAAGCACCGGCUAACUCCGUGCCAGCAACCGCGGUAAUACGGAGGGUGCAAGCGUUAAUCGGAAUUACUGGGCGUAAAGCGCUCGCAGGCGGUCUGUCAGGUCGGAUGUGAAAUCCCCGGGCUCAACCUGGGAACUGCAUUCGAAACUGGCAGGCUAGAGUCUUGUAGAGGGGGGUAGAAUUCCAGGUGUAGCGGUGAAAUGCGUAGAGAUCUGGAGGAAUACCGGUGGCGAAGGCGGCCCCCUGGACAAAGACUGACGCUCAGGUGCGAAAGCGUGGGGAGCAAACGGGAUUAGAUACCCCCGUAGUC
rnacentral:rRNA from 1 species